CAUUGCCAUCGGCCAGAGUCAAAAGAAACAGCUGACACAACUGUUCCCACCGUUCAUCAGGGCCAUCUAGUGUCCAGGCCAGCGGACCACGGGGAGCUGUAACACGCCCUUCCUCCUCUAUACUCUCCUUGCCGGUGACAUUGGCAGCUGCUGACACUUUCAAAACAAACUUGUAGCUGAGUCGUAGAUAUCUGUGGGACAAUCAGUCUCGGCAAUAAGUGAUGACAAGUUCGGCAUGGGUACAUCUGAACAAAGUAACCAGACCCCAGAUCCAUCCCCUGGUCAGGAGUCACGCUACAUUGCCAGCCUUGACCUUGGAACCACCACUCUCCGCUGUUUCAUUUAUGAUGCAAAUGUCCGUAUCUGUGGCAAGGCAGAGGAAAAGGUAUGAAAAGAAAUCUUAUACGUGAUAUGUAAAUUUCUUCCUUGUGAAAAUUAUCUGUGACCCAUGGGAUACCUUUUCUAUGAUAAAUAUAACCUGUAUAGCCAGGAGUGUGCUGGGGCUGGUUUGGUCAGGUUUACCGAAAUGGUGAAUAAAAAUUUAACUUGAAAUUGUGCAAAAAAACAAAAACUUACAUAUUUUUAAUGUUUAAAUUCUAGUGACUUAAUGGUUUGGCAAACCGGCCUUGGACAUUGUAGUCUAGUUGUACUACAAGUCACUAUAUAUCAUUUUACCAUUUUUAGCAGUUUUUUGCAAUGUCUAAUUAUUUUUUAAUGGAAGAUUAGUUUACUCUAAGGUAAUGUAAUAUAGUCAUUAGUGAAUAUAAAAGGUAGGUGAAAAAAAAUUUGUCAAAAUAUUAAUAAAUGCUCUUUGGAAAGGCUAAAAUGUGUUGGGUGUUGUGCCUCUGCCUCAGACCCUGCUGGGGGAACCACCGCUCACCUCAGACGCCUUACCUAAAUUUUGACCUAAAUCAGAACUGGUUGUUAAGAUAUUGGCAGCACACCCCUGUGUAUAGCCGUCUUACAUUUGGCUGUGCACUAUGAAAGUGCCACAACAGAAAGGUUGUUUAUGUUUAGGAUGUUCUAAUAAUACUUUUGAUACCAUAUAUUCUGACAUGUUUUUUCAUUGUUCAGUUGUUUUUUUUUCUGCUAAAUGUAGCCUGGGGAAGUUAACCUGGUCACAGUAGCUAAAGAUAAUGGUAAGAGAAAGGUCGCUCAAGUCGCAUUUCCUUUAUUUCUUCCUCAGUGUAAUCCCCUAAGUCCUGAUACAGCAACCAAAUACAGUAGUGAAAACUCAUAUAUUAAUACAAAUUACAAAUAUAUAACACUCAAAAGUACAAUAGGAUAAUAAUAAGUAAUACAGUAUAGUCUCGGUUUACGCGGAUUUCUUAUACGCGGUUGUUCAUUUACACGGCACCUGUCCAGACACGGCAAUUAUUAGUUACGAGGUACAUUCCAGCAUUUACGCGGGAAGCUGUGCGCUUGGUCGCUCUUACGUCACCUCUGACGUCAGAUGACGUAUCGGACUGUGAUUGGGCCACGCAUCCUUACCACCACGCAUUCCCUCCGCCGCUAGCUGUGAUUGGU